UGACUCCCGCCGGGGUAAUCGCUAGCCACGAGCCCAGUAUCGAGCCAUUCGGCGCGACUGGCAACAGGCGCGUCGAUGCGUAGGCACGACAGCAGACGAGGUGCACAGGUCAUGGGUGGAGCCGACCUUGAAUGUAUUGAGCCCCUAGAAGUUUUGUCGAGAGUGCCGACGGGUUUGUCCCUCCGACAGGCAACAGUCCGUGGCGCGUUGUGGCGAGUGGCACGGGUACUCCCUGGGGUCUGAGGCCA
rnacentral:ncRNA from 1 species